AUUGAACGCUGGCGGCAGGCCUAACACAUGCAAGUCGAGCGGAUGAAGCGAGCUUGCUCCUGGAUUCAGCGGCGGACGCGUGUGUAAUGCCUAGGAAUCUGCCUGGUAGUGGGGUAUAACGUCUUGAAACGGGCGCUAAUACCGCAUACGUCCUGAGGGUGCAAGAGGGGGAUCUUCGGACCUCACGCUAUCAGAUGAGCCUAGGUCGGAUUAGCUAGUUGGUGGGGUAAAGGCCUACCAAGGCGACGAUCCGUAACUGGUCUGAGAGGAUGAUCAGUCACACUAGAACUGAGACACGGUCCAGGGUACUACGGGAGGCAGCAGUGGGGAAUAUUGGACAAUGGGCGAAAGCCUGAUCCAGCCAUGCCGCGUGUGUGAAGAAGGUCUUCGGAUUGUAAAGCACUUUAAGUUGGGAGGAAGGGCAGUAAGUUAAGACCUUGCUGUUUUGACGGUACCAACAGAAGAAGCACCGGCUAACUUCGUG
rnacentral:rRNA from 1 species